UUUGUACCUCUGUGUCAUUGAGGUCCAGCGGUGUUCCUUUGUGCGUCCUGUUUCCCGUUCCUGUUUCCCGUUCCUGUUUCCCGUUCCUGUUUCCCGUUCCUGUUUCCCGAUCCUGUUUCCCCUUCGUCGACUUCCCGGAUUCCCAAACUGAACCCGGAUUGACCCCUGCCCAGUCACUAUGAAACAGCAUCUUAACAUAUUGAAGACGGGAUGUGAGUGGAGUAUACCUCUCUGAGGAGGAGAUUUGGCCGUGCUAGCCACCGUCAUUCCGGCUCCCAGUUCACUGUUCCUGCUGCCGGGCCGCGACAGCCUCCAGUUCCCACUGCUGGACCUCUGUUCCCGCUGCCGGAUCUCCGUUCCCGCUGCCAGACCUCCGCAGUCCCCUGUUUCUGCUGCCAGGCCGUGACAGCCUCAAGUUCCCGCUGCCAGGCCGCCACAGCCCACUGAUUUCGCCGCCGGGCCGCCGCAGCCCCCUCUCAUCUCGAUGUCCCUUCGCUCCAUUCUCCUCUCGAGGCCCCUUCCCAAGUGCUUCCCCCAGCCCGGCCUCCUGAGCAGCUCCGUCUGCCUCCAGCCCGGCCUCUCCGCCGGCUUCCAGCCCGGCCUCCUGAGCGUCUCCAAUCGGAGGCGCACUGGAGAGACCGGACACUACAACUUCAUGGCCAGCUUGACAGUCGGGGCUGGUGUUGUCAGUCACUAUGUACCCUUGUGUUAGUUCUGAGGCUCGCGUAUUGUAACCCGUAUAUUGCAUUCUGUAUUCUGUACCUUGUGCUAGUUAUUUGACGUCCUUAGAGGCUGAUAGUUUCGGAACAAGCAUUUCAGAGUUCUUUGUUAGACACGCUAGGUGCUCCGGCGCUGUUUAUACGUUUUAUGUGGUUUGUACGUAUCGACCGUUCUCCCCAAAAUAGUUUGAGUUGUUUAGGUUGGGGUUUACGUUUUGUUAGUUUGGCUGAAAUGCCUUUUUUGCUCUCCUGUUAAGAGACCUCCUUUCGUUCUAUUUGGCUUUCUUUAAACGCAUAAUUUGUCAAUUGCUCCAGAUAAUAUUAAUAAAUAUCUUUAUCAACCAUCA